GGACCUUACUGCUAUCGGGGGAGGACUAAAACAUGCAAGUCGUGCGUCUCCAAGCUAUGAUGGAGACGCGGCGUACAGCUCAGUAACACGUGGCUAACCCACCCUUGAGACGGAGACAACCCCGGGAAACUGGGGCUAAUCCCCGAUAGGAGAAGACACCUGGAAGGGGUCUUUUCCCAAAAGGCGUUUAGGCCAUGCUUCUAGACGUCGCUCAAGGACGGGGCCGCGGCCGAUCAGGUUGUUGGUGUGGUAAUGGCUCACCAAGCCUAUAACCGGUACGGGCCGUGAGAGCGGGAGCCCGGAGAUGGGCACUGAGACAAGGGUCCAGGCCCUACGGGGCGCAGCAGUUGCGAAAACUCCGCAAUGCACGAAAGUGUGACGGGGCUACCCCGAGUGCCGUCCGCUGAGGGCGGCUUUUCCCCGGUGUAAGGAGCCGGGGGAAUAAGGAGAGGGCAAGUCUGGUGUCAGCCGCCGCGGUAAUACCAGCUCUCCGAGUGGUAGGGAUGAUUAUUGGGCUUAAAGCGUCCGUAGCCGACCUAGCAAGUCUUCCGUUAAAUCCACCGAUUCAAUCGUUGGACUGCGGGAGAUACUGUUGGGCUAGGGGGCGGGAGAGGCCGACGGUAUUCUCGGGGUAGGGGUAAAAUCCUAUAAUCCCGGGAGGACCACCAGUGGCGAAGGCGGUCGGCUAGAACGCGCUCGACGGUGAGGGACGAAAGCUGGGGGAGCGAACCGGAUUAGAUACCCGGGUAGUCCCAGCUGUAAACGAUGCGGGCUAGGUGUUGGGGCGGCUACGGGCCGCUUCAGUGCCGCAGGGAAACCAUUAAGUCCGCCCCCUGGGGAGUACGGCCGCAAGGCUGAAACUUAA
rnacentral:rRNA from 1 species